rnacentral:lncRNA from 1 species
GUUUCUGAUUAUAUAGACUGGAGGAUAACCAUGCCUUUCACAGUGUCUAUUUCCUUGUAAGAUAACAUCAUUUGCAGCAUUUUGAAAUAACGAACUUGUUCUUUUUUAUAUGUCUAGAUUAGGGCGAUACUUGUUCUUCUCCCAGCUAAAUGAGGCAAAAGGAAAUUCUAAUAGGCCCUGGGAAAAGUAAUUAAUGGGUCAGAACAGCCUCAUCCAUUUCUUUUGAGCAGUGCUCCCUGCAUGAGUGAACUGUAGGCAAAAUCCCCUCUCUUGCCUGCUCUCCAAUCAUCAAGUGUGUGAUGCCACUUCUGGGGAUCAGGACCUUCUAGACAACUUAGAGUUCCUUCAAGUCGGUAGAAGGCUGGAAGCAGAAGUUUGGAGGAGAUCAGAGCAGGGCUUGAUCGGGGACAGUGACCCUGUGUCAGAGCCAGGAAAUGUGCCCCAAGUUGAUGAAUUACCAUGGUUUUAUAUAACAUCAUGGAUUUGUCAGAAUUUGAUCAUCUUGCUGCUCCAAGAAUCAAACAAACCACUACCACAACAAACAGUCCUUUGGAAAGCAAGGAUGUCCUUGGGAAUAUAAACAGGUGCAACAGGGGCGAGGUCUUUCAGCAGUUCCACUCCU